GGACUACUGGGGUAUCUAAUCCUGUUUGCUCCCCACGCUUUCGCGCUUUAGCGUCAGGUAUAAGCCAAGAAGCUGCCUUCGCAACCGGUAUUCCUCUUGAGAUCUACGCAUUUUACCGCUACUCCAAGAAUUCUACUUCUCUCUCUUACCCUCUAGCUCGCCAGUUUCAAUUGCAUUUCCUCGGUUAAGCCAAGGUCUUUAACAAUCAACUUAACAAGCCGCCUACACGCUCUUUACGCCCAGUAACUCCGAAUAACGCUUGCACCCUUCGUAUUACCGCGGCUGCUGGCAC
rnacentral:rRNA from 1 species